AUUGAACGCUGGCGGCAGGCUUAACACAUGCAAGUCGAGCGGAGCGAGGGUGCUUGCACCUUAGCUUAGCGGCGGACGGGUGAGUAAUGCUUAGGAAUCUGCCUAUUAGUGGGGGACAACAUUCCGAAAGGAAUGCUAAUACCGCAUACGCCCUACGGGGGAAAGCAGGGGAUCUUCGGACCUUGCGCUAAUAGAUGAGCCUACGUCGGAUUAGCUAGUUGGUGGGGUAAAGGCCUACCAAGGCGACGAUCUGUAGCGGGUCGGAGAGGAUGAUCCGCCACACUGGGACUGAGACACGGCCCAGACUCCUACGGGAGGCAGCAGUGGGGAAUAUUGGACAAUGGGCGGAAGCCUGAUCCAGCCAUGCCGCGUGUGUGAAGAAGGCCUUUUGGUUGUAAAGCACUUUAAGCGAGGAGGAGGCUACUUAGAUUAAUACUCUAGGAUAGUGGACGUUACUCGCAGAAUAAGCACCGGCUAACUCUGUGCCAGCAGCCGCCGCCGUAAC
rnacentral:rRNA from 1 species